AACGAACGCUGGCGGCGUGCCUAACACAUGCAAGUCGUGCGAGAAAGUUUCCUUCGGGGAGCGAGUAAAGCGGCGCACGGGUGAGUAACACGUAGGUAACCUACCUUUCAGUCCGGAAUAACCAGCUGAAAAGCUGGCUAAUGCCGGGUGAGACCACGAUCUCUGCGGGGAUCGCGGCCAAAGGCGGCCUCUUCAUGAAAGCUGAUGCUGAGAGAUGGGGCCUGCGACCAUUAGCUAGUUGGUGAGGUAACGCUCACCAAGGCUUUGAUGGUUAGCUGGUCUGAGAGGAUGACCAGCCACACUGGGACUGAGACACGGCCCAGACUCCUACGGG
rnacentral:rRNA from 1 species